CGAGAUAUAGCUUAUUCAUUAAAGUACCUUGCUUACACCAAGACGAUGUUCACGACAUGAACUCUCUCGAG
rnacentral:tRNA from 1 species